UGUGGCAGAUUAGUGCAAUAAAUUUAAGAUUUUUCAAUAAAGUUUAUCUUUCUUUAGAA
rnacentral:tRNA from 2 species